CGCGGCCUAUCAGCUUGUUGGUGGGGUAACGGCCUACCAAGGCAACGACGGGUAGCUGGUCUGAGAGGACGAUCAGCCACACUGGGACUGAGACACGGCCCAGACUCCUACGGGAGGCAGCAGUGGGGAAUCUUGCGCAAUGGGCGAAAGCCUGACGCAGCAACGCCGCGUGAGGGACGAAGGUCUUCGGGUUGUAAACCUCUUUCAGCAUGGACGAUUGUGACGGUACCUGCGGAAGAAGCCCCGGCCAACUACGUGCCAGCAGCCGCGGUAAUACGUAGGGGGCGAGCGUUGUCCGGAUUCAUUGGGCGUAAAGAGCUCGUAGGCGGCUUGGUUAGUUGGGUGUGAAACCUCCAGGCUUAACCUGGAGACGCCACUCAAUACUGCCAUGGCUAGAGUCCGGUAGGGGACCACGGAAUUCCUGGUGUAGCGGUGAAAUGCGCAGAUAUCAGGAGGAACACCGGUGGCGAAGGCGGUGGUCUGGGCCGGCACUGACGCUGAGGAGCGAAAGCGUGGGGAGCGAACAGGAUUAGAUACCCUGGUAGUCCACGCCGUAAACGUUGGGCACUAGGUGUGGGGGAUUAUCAACGUCCUCCGUGCCGUAGCUAACGCAUUAAGUGCCCCGCCUGGGGAGUAC
rnacentral:rRNA from 1 species